UUUUGCCUUUCUCUAGGCCACCUGAACUCGCCUAAGUAAUCAGACCUCCUCCAAAGCGUGGUAUUUGAGAACAGACCUGGCCUCUGUUUCAGAAGGACAUAAUUGACCGUUUUGUAUGAACCAACAUCAAAAUAUCAGACCUUGUGUGCUAAUAGAAAUGUCCGAAUUCUCUUAAAAAGUGGGAAGACCUGGACCUACAUUCCUGCAUGGUAACAAUCAGCUACAGCAGAGUGUCCCAUGCUCCAUGAAUUAAGUAAACCCUGAAAACAACAACAACAACAACAACAACAACACAACCCCUGCACACGGUAUUGCGUCAGAAUGAUGUAGGGAUACAAAGAACAUCGGGACAUGGACUUCAUUUCCAAAGGACGUGGCUCUUGCAUG